rnacentral:rRNA from 1 species
UGGGGAAUUUUGGACAAUGGGGGAAACCCUGAUCCAGCCAUCCCGCGUGUGCGAUGAAGGCCUUCGGGUUGUAAAGCACUUUUGGCAGGAAAGAAACGUCGCGGGUUAAUACCCCGCGAAACUGACGGUACCUGCAGAAUAAGCACCGGCUAACUACGUGCCAGCAGCCGCGGUAAUACGUAGGGUGCAAGCGUUAAUCGGAAUUACUGGGCGUAAAGCGUGCGCAGGCGGUUCGGAAAGAAAGAUGUGAAAUCCCAGAGCUUAACUUUGGAACUGCAUUUUUAACUACCGGGCUAGAGUGUGUCAGAGGGAGGUGGAAUUCCGCGUGUAGCAGUGAAAUGCGUAGAUAUGCGGAGGAACACCGAUGGCGAAGGCAGCCUCCUGGGAUAACACUGACGCUCAUGCACGAAAGCGUGGGGAGCAAACAGGAUUAGAUACCCUGGUAGUCCACGCCCUAAACGAUGUCAACUAGUUGUUGGGGAUUCAUUUCCUUAGUAACGUAGCUAACGCGUGAAGUUGACCGCCUGGGGAGUACGGUCGCAAGAUUAAAACUCAAAGGAAUUGAC